rnacentral:rRNA from 1 species
GGAAACAGCUGCUAAUACCGGAUACGAGGACGGAGAGGCAUCUCUACCGUCGUGGAAAGUUUUUUCGGUCUGGGAUGGACUCGCGGCCUAUCAGCUAGUUGGUGAGGUAAUGGCUCACCAAGGCGACGACGGGUAGCCGGCCUGAGAGGGGCGACCGGCCACACUGGGACUGAGACACGGCCCAGACUCCUACGGGAGGCAGCAGUGGGGAAUAUUGCACAAUGGGCGAAAGCCUGAUGCAGCGACGCCGCGUGAGGGAUGACGGCCUUCGGGUUGUAAACCUCUUUCAGCAGGGAAGAAGCGAAAGUGACGGUACCUGCAGAAGAAGCACCGGCUAACUACGUGCCAGCAGCCGCGGUAAUACGUAGGGUGCGAGCGUUGUCCGGAAUUAUUGGGCGUAAAGAGCUUGUAGGCGGUUUGUCGCGUCUGCAGUGAAAAUCCGAGGCUCAACCUCGGACUUGCUGUGGGUACGGGCAGACUAGAGUAUGGUAGGGGAG